GUCGAGCGAGUUGAUUCUCUUCGGAGAUGAAGCUAGCGGCGGACGGUUGAGUAACACGUGGGCAACCUGCCUCAUAGAGGGGAAUAGCCUCCCGAAAGGGAGAUUAAUACCGCAUAAGAUUGUAGCUUUGCAUGAAGUAGCAAUUAAAGGAGUAAUCCGCUAUGAGAUGGGCCCGCGGCGCAUUAGCUAGUUGGUGAGGUAACGGCUCACCAAGGCGACGAUGCGUAGCCGACCUGAGAGGGUGAUCGGCCACAUUGGGACUGAGACACGGCCCAGACUCCUACGGGAGGCAGCAGUGGGGAAUAUUGCACAAUGGGGGAAACCCUGAUGCAGCAACGCCGCGUGAGUGAUGACGGCCUUCGGGUUGUAAAGCUCUGUCUUCAGGGACGAUAAUGACGGUACCUGAGGAGGAAGCCACGGCUAACUACGUGCCAGCAGCCGCGGUAAUACGUAGGUGGCGAGCGUUGUCCGGAUUUACUGGGCGUAAAGGGAGCGUAGGCGGACUUUUAAGUGAGAUGUGAAAUACCCGGGCUCAACUUGGGUGCUGCAUUUCAAACUGGAAGUCUAGAGUGCAGGAGAGGAGAAUGGAAUUCCUAGUGUAGCGGUGAAAUGCGUAGAGAUUAGGAAGAACACCAGUGGCGAAGGCGAUUCUCUGGACCGUAACUGACGCUGAGGCUCGAAAGCGUGGGGAGCACACAGGAUUAGAUACCCUGGUAGUCCACGCC
rnacentral:rRNA from 1 species